rnacentral:rRNA from 1 species
CCUACGGGAGGCAGCAGUAGGGAAUCUUUCACAAUGGGCGAAAGCCUGAUGGAGCAACGCCGCGUGCAGGAUGCAGGCCUUCGGGUUGUAAACUGCUUUUAUAAGCGAGAAAUAUGAUGGUAACUUAUGAAUAAGGAUCGGCUAACUACGUGCCAGCAGCCGCGGUCAUACGUAGGAUCCGAGCAUUAUCCGGAGUGACUGGGUGUAAAGAGUUGCGUGGGUGGCGAAGUAAGUAGCUAGUGAAAUCUGGUGGCUCAACCAUUCGGACGACUAGCUAAACUGCUAAGCUCGAAAGCGGUAGAGGUAACUGGAAUUUCUAGUGUAGGAGUGAAAUCCGUAGAUAUUAGAAGGAACACCGAUAGCGUAGGCAGGUUACUGGGACGGUUCUGACACUAAGGAACGAAAGCGUAGGGAGCAAACGGGAUUAGAUACCCCUGUAGUC